GAGGAGGGAAUAGCUCUGGAUGAAGCAGCGACAACAAACACACACAAAUCCAACCCAAAACAACCCCUCCUACCCCCCAAAUAAACAAACAAACAAAAAACAUCAUCAGUGCGUAUCGUUAAAGCACAUAGAAAUCACAGCGGUUCGUAAACAUACCGCAAAGGAAGCAGAAAGGUGUGGGGAAAAUACACUGAGAAGUUGCAGGCGGCUGUGGCAGAAAGACCCCAAAUUUGCCCUAAGCGCAGGGCUGACCCUGCAGCACUUCUGCUCGCUCUGCUUAACUGGCUCCAGGUUGAACACCAACUAUGUUCAUGACUGGGAGAAAAGCGUGGAAGAAGAGUGGCACACUACAGACAUCUUUCCUAAGCACAACACUCCACUUCUAUUUACAGCUUGA
rnacentral:lncRNA from 1 species